UAACAUAUGCUAAGAAUUCAACAGCCAUUGG
rnacentral:piRNA from 1 species